rnacentral:rRNA from 1 species
AUUGAACGCUGGCGGCAUGCUUUACACAUGCAAGUCGGACGGCAGCACAGAGAAGCUUGCUUCUUGGGUGGCGAGUGGCGAACGGGUGAGUAACAUAUCGGAACGUACCGAGUAGUGGGGGAUAACUGAUCGAAAGAUCAGCUAAUACCGCAUACGUCUUGAGAGGGAAAGCAGGGGACCUUCGGGCCUUGCGCUAUUCGAGCGGCCGAUAUCUGAUUAGCUAGUUGGUGGAGUAAAGGCCUACCAAGGCGACGAUCAGUAGCGGGUCUGAGAGGAUGAUCCGCCACACUGGGACUGAGACACGGCCCAGACUCCUACGGGAGGCAGCAGUGGGGAAUUUUGGACAAUGGGCGCAAGCCUGAUCCAGCCAUGCCGCGUGUCUGAAGAAGGCCUUCGGGUUGUAAAGGACUUUUGUCAGGGAAGAAAAGGCUGUUGCUAAUAUCAUCAGCUGAUGAC